rnacentral:lncRNA from 1 species
UCUUGGAAUAGUCGGCCAGCAGAUAUAGAUGGCCUUCUCGAGUGGUGUAAGGGCUAGGACGCGACGCCCUCUGCGUUCUUAAGGCCUCAGACUUUCUUCUGCGGCCGGCUGGAUUGGAUGCUCGAAGGCCUGGACCCUUCCUACAGCUGAGCCAACGGGAACGCGGAACCUCCGUGGAUCUGCCAAUAGAGAGCGCUCGGCCGUGGGCUGGCGGGGUCUCUGAAUCCCGGAGCACCUGGAACCCAGCACCUGCCUGCAUGUUUAAGAUAUGUAAGAAGACUGCAAUAGUUAAAACGGUUCCCAUUGUCACAGACGUGUGCCCGUGUGCACUGGAAUGCUCUCUAUGAAGAAUGACAGACUGAGUGGACAGAACUGGCAAAUUUCCCUUUAUGAAACAUUUAAACAGUCAACUUGCUCAGGCCGGUUCUCCAUUGCCUGUCUUAUUGGACUCAUCACUGCUAUAGGCUGCGCCUUGGGCUUAGAUCCUGCUGGAAAAAUACCACGUGAAUCUUCACUGGCAGAUGUGCUACCUGAUCACCGAACAGCCCCUGCCAGAACCUCUGCUGUGAGCACGACAAAAGCUGGCCAAUCUCCUCCAGGCUGGCCAGGCUCCAGCCCUAAAAGUAACUCACGUGUUCACCUGCUGUGUUAUCUGGACGCCCACUAAGUGCAGCACCCUCCACUGUGCCUUUCAGACCAGCACCAACAAGGAUGUAUCCCUUCCUCCCUCCGGCUAGACUGUUACCAGGAUCUCCAGCACCCUUUCU